rnacentral:rRNA from 1 species
UACAGAGGGUGCAAACGUUGCUCGGAAUUAUUGGGCGUAAAGCGCGUGUAGGCGGUUUAUUAGGCCAGCUGUGAAAUCCCAUGGCUCAACCAUGGAAGUGCAGCUGGAACCGGUAAACUAGAGUUCUGACGAGGGUGGCGGAAUUCCCAGUGUAGAGGUGAAAUUCGUAGAUAUUGGGAGGAACACCGGUGGCGAAGGCGGCCACCUGGGAAGAUACUGACGCUGAGACGCGAAAGCGUGGGGAGCAAACAGG